UACGUAGGAGGCGAGCGUUGUCCGGAAUUACUGGGCGUAAAGAGCGCGUAGGUGGCGCUGUACGACCUGUGUGAAAGCCCCCAGCUCAACUGGGGAGGGUCAGCGGUAACGGCCGUGCUUUGAGUGCAGGAGAGGGAAGUGGAACUCCGGGAGUAGCGGUGAAAUGCGUAGAGACCCGGAGGAACACCAGUGGCGAAGGCGGCUUCCUGGUCUGCGACUGACGCUGUGGCGCGAAAGCUAGGGGAGCAAACGGG
rnacentral:rRNA from 1 species